UACGUAGGGGGCAAGCGUUGUCCGGAAUCAUUGGGCGUAAAGCGCGUGUAGGCGGUUCCGUAAGUCUGCUGUGAAAGUCGAAGGCUCAACCUUCGAAAGCCGGUGGAUACUGUGGAACUAGAGUUCGGAAGAGGCAAGUGGAAUUCCUGGUGUAGCGGUGAAAUGCGCAGAUAUCAGGAGGAACACCAACGGCGAAGGCAGCUUGCUGGGACGACACUGACGCUGAGACGCGAAAGCGUGGGGAGCAAACAGG
rnacentral:rRNA from 1 species